rnacentral:ncRNA from 1 species
GAAUCGGUUGGAGAAUUGGGAAGCCGGUGAGAUGCCGGCGCUGCCCCCGCAACGGUAGCAGAGCGAAGAAGGCGACGAAAACCACUGGGCCGCAGGGCCUGGGAAGGUGUCGCCGGAUCCGGGAAACCGGAAGGCUCUGGAGCCCGGAAACCAGCCACGGAUCGA